UACGAAGGGGGCUAGCGUUGUUCGGAAUUACUGGGCGUAAAGCGCACGUAGGCGGGUCUGUAAGUAGAGGGUGAAAUCCCAGGGCUCAACCCUGGAACUGCCUUCUAGACUGCAGGCCUCGAGGUCAGGAGAGGCGAGUGGAAUACCGAGUGUAGAGGUGAAAUUCGUAGAUAUUCGGUGGAACACCAGUGGCGAAGGCGACCCGCUGGACUGAUACUGACGCUGAGGAGCGAAAGCGUGGGGAGCGAACAGG
rnacentral:rRNA from 1 species